CUUCUUCUUUCUGGUGCUUUCCUAGCCUUAAAAAGGAAGUUUCACAGCAAAGUCAGGGAAUCUCUGAUCUAUACUGGUUACAAAAACUCAACCGUACAUGAUUCAGAUAUUUCUCUCACUUCCACCCACUCCUUUUCCCUCCCUUUUACUUCUUUAUGUGUGCUUAAUGAAUGUUAGAGACUAUUUUCAAGGUGUUUUCCAGGGACCCAAAAUAACAAGCUCAAGGUAAUGGAGAAAAUUGAAUAAGCUGAACACAGUGCAGUCAUUUCCUUUCUUCGCUUGUUUUGCUUCUGCUAAGAAAUGCUGAGAAUGUUUUUGAAAGGUAGCUGCUAGUUAUUUAUUCCCUAGAUCACAGGACGAGAGAGCUGUAUGAAUCCUGAGAGCACCCAGUAAAGAGCUUUACUGCUGGGCCAAUCAGACAGUGUUCAGCAGAGCCCAUUGGUGGGAAAUACCAGAGUGGAUAACGAUGUCAUGGCAACAGGAAGACCUGUCCCUAAGAUGGAGAGUGAAGAGCUUUGGAUGAGAGAGCUGCUGUAGUGGACCAAGAGGACAGCUUUGCACCUGACAUGCUGGGGAAAUAUCUACUUUAUCUAUCUUGCAAGGCUGUUUGGGGAUCCAAAAAUUGCAAUAUCUGGAAACCUAAGCUGCAGCUUCCAGCCUGCCUUUUAUAUAGAAGAAUCACAGGCAUCUUUUGUUAGACAGAAGUCUGCUUGAGAAUAUGGUCAUCAGACUUAUGAAACCACAUUUUCUCUUAAUCAAGAAUACCAGACAAGUGGUGGUAAUGUGUUACUUAAUUACAGGUUCUGUUACACAUAUAUCAUUGCUUUAACAGUGUGCUCUUAGUUACAACCUCCAAUGAGUACUCUUGUUUUGUUCAUCCUGUGAUCAAGGCCACAGAUCUACAAGCAGGCUUUAUAUGUUGCAGUGCUAUAGGUGACUGUGGUAGAUAGACCAUUUUUCUGUGUGAGGCUAACUGGCCUAUAUAUGAUUCAUGACACCACAUUCUACCAACUGAUACAAUCCAUGCAGACAUGUAGCUGCCCCAACAUUUUGUUUGUUCAACAGAAGAAUGAAGUAAAAGGACCCAGUGUACUCCAAACCUAGGUCAUUCAGAUAUUCUUUGGAUAAAGGUCAAGGAC
rnacentral:lncRNA from 1 species